AUGGACAAUGGUUGGAGCUUCUGUGUGAUACAGAACAGAAAUACACUGAAGGAAUCCCAGAAGAAGAGCUUUGGGUCUGACACAGUUGUAAUAGUGUUGGUGAAUGAACUGGAGUGCCUGCAGAGGGGAGAUGCUCACACACGCGGCCUGCUGCCUGCCCCCCUGCCGCUCCCAAGGAGAGCAGCGCCACCAUUAUAUUAAUUAACCACUGUUUUGCUGUUCAUGUGCUUUCUACUGCGUUGAAAGAUAAACGAUACCUAUCAUCAUAAGAUAAACUCACAUUUCUCAAAAGCAGUUACCAAUUCUGCUGAAGGGAAGUACACUGGGAAGAGAUGUAAGUAAUUAUGGAGACAAGUAAGAAAUGUUCAAAGAAGUAAUAUCUUUAAGUUAAAAAGGCUGUUGUUCUGUAUCCAAAUAGCUGAUAUAUAGCUCUUUCCUUAGGGUAAAUUGCUCUAUUUUGAAUCACUCUUACUGUUAUUUGUCUUACAGAUUCAUAAUUCAGGAAAUAGGGUUUAUUCUUUUCCAGUGACUGUCUUUCAGAUCAGCUUUAGUGACCCUGAACUUAAAGGAGUCAAAGACUGUUUACAUUUGCAUUCAGUUAUGAGUCACUGAAUUAUCCGAUAUGGAAAGAUCUUCAAAACUCAACUCAGCUCAGCUCUGAGGUUUCAGCUGCACGCAAAACAUAGUAUUCAGGCUUAGUCUACCCAGAAGCCAGGAUGCAGAUUUAUUCAUCCAUUGUUUUUGGAAUCAAAUAUAUCUAAAUGUCAAAGCGUCUUAGAUGUGUGAGAAUACUUGUCAUUAUUCCUAUACAGGGUCACCUGUAUCUAAAAUGUUAGGAUCUUUUUAAAGUAAAAUAGUUGUUUUGUUUUAGUUGUCUUUUCUUUUAUUUUUCUUUCAGGAGUUCAAGUACUUUCCAGUACCAGUGGAGAUGUGAUGGUAUGGAGAUGAAGCUGAAAUGCUUCUUGUGAUGAAGCACUGAACUUUGAACAGGAAUCAGCUCUUCACAUCUAUUUUUUCCUGGCUCAUAUGUGAAAAAGUUUGUAGUGUAGCACUGCAGUGGUAAACUGCCUUAUGCUGAUUAGGCAUCUUUCACACCUUCUGUCCUUCACUGCAGUCCCACAUGUCCUUGUAAUAGUUCGAUCUUAUUACCUAAAUCCAGAAUAACUCUUGACAAUUAGUACUACUUACACACAAUCAAGACUGCUUGUCAAGAAUUAGUACACAGCAAAAGGUUGCUCUUGCUGCUUUCAAAAUAUUUAUUAAUUAUGGUCAUAAGCAAAGGGGAGAUGACCAGUGGGUAGAUAUUUUUAGUGCUUCUGUCCCCUAAGUAUUAAUUAAACCAGAUUAGAAACUCAUAUUACUCAGGCAAGUCUGAACUAAUCAAAUCUGGACAAGCUUUCAGAAAACUUGUUUAAAAUAAAUACAUUUUAAUAGGAAAAUGUUAAAUUUGC
rnacentral:lncRNA from 1 species